CUAGUAAUGGCAGGUCAGCAUACUGCCGUGAAUACGUUCCCGGGCCCUUGUACACACCGCCCGUCACACCAUGAGAGUUGGGAAUACCCGAAGCCUGUGAGCUAACUUUUAGAGGCAGCAGUCGAAGGUAGAAUCAAUGAUUGGGGUGAAGUCGUAACAAGGUAGC
rnacentral:rRNA from 1 species